rnacentral:tRNA from 1 species
GGUAGAAAACUAUUAAGCAUUAUGGUUUCGGCCCAUAACCAGGGUAUCUAAUACCCUCUACCA